rnacentral:rRNA from 1 species
UACGUAGGGGGCGAGCGUUGUCCGGAGUUACUGGGCGUAAAGCGCACGUAGGCGGUCUGCUAAGUUUGGAGUGACAGUUGGUGGCUUAACUGCCAAAGUGCUUCGAAAACUGACAGACUUGAGGGCUUCAGAGGGGCACGGAAUUCCGGGUGGAGUGGUGAAAUGCGUAGAGAUCCGGAGGAACACCAAAGGCGAAGGCAGUGUCCUGGGGAGUACCUGACGCUCAGGUGCGAAAGCCAGGGGAGCGAACGGG